rnacentral:tRNA from 1 species
GGAGAGAUGGCUGAGUGGCUGAAGGCGCACGCCUGGAAAGUGUGUUUAGGUUAAUCCCUAACGAGGGUUCGAAUCCCUCUCUCUCCG